AGAGUUUGAUCAUGGCUCAGGACGAACGCUGGCGGCGCGCUUAACACAUGCAAGUCGAACGGUGAACCGGGCUUCGGCCCGGGGAUCAGUGGCGAACGGGUGCGUAACACGUGGGCAACCUGCCCCUCACUCUGGGAUAACCCCGGGAAACCGGAGCUAAUACCGGAUACUCCGACCGGUCCGCAUGGUCUGGUCGGGAAAAGUCCGCUGGUGAGGGAUGGGCCCGCGGCCUAUCAGCUUGUUGGUGGGGUAACGGCCCACCAAGGCGACGACGGGUAGCUGGUCUGAGAGGACGACCAGCCACACUGGGACUGAGAUACGGCCCAGACUCCUACGGGAGGCAGCAGUGGGGAAUCUUGCGCAAUGGGCGAAAGCCUGACGCAGCGACGCCGCGUGGGGGAUGAAGGCCCUCGGGUUGUAAACCCCUUUCGGCAGGGACGAAGCGAUCGUGACGGUACCUGCAGAAGAAGCCUCGGCUAACUACGUGCCAGCAGCCGCGGUA
rnacentral:rRNA from 1 species